GACGAACGCUGGCGGUGUGCUUAACACAUGCAAGUCGAACGGAAAGGCCCUGCUUUUGUGGGGUGCUCGAGUGGCGAACGGGUGAGUAACACGUGAGUAACCUGCCCUUGACUUUGGGAUAACUUCAGGAAACUGGGGCUAAUACCGGAUAGGAGCUCCUGCUGCAUGGUGGGGGUUGGAAAGUUUCGGCGGUAGGGGAUGGGCUCGCGGCUUAUCAGCUUGUUGGUGGGGUAGUGGCUUACCAAGGCUUUGACGGGUAGCCGGCCUGAGAGGGUGACCGGGCACAUUGGGACUGAGAUACGGCCCAGAGUCCUACGGGAGGCAGCAGUGGGGAAUAUUGCACAGUGGGCGGAAGCCUGAUGCAGCAACGCCGCGUGCGGGAUGACGGCCUUCGGGUUGAAAACCGCUUUCGCCUGUGACGAAGCGUGAGUGACGGUAAUGGGUAAAGAAGCACCGGCUAACUACGUG
rnacentral:rRNA from 1 species